UACGAAGGUGGCAAGCGUUGUUCGGAUUUACUGGGCGUACAGGGAGCGUAGGCGGUUGGAUAAGCCCUCCGUGAAAUCUCCAGGCUUAACCUGGAAAGUGCAGAGGGGACUGUUCAGCUAGAGGAUGGGAGAGGAGCGCGGAAUUCCCGGUGUAGCGGUGAAAUGCGUAGAGAUCGGGAGGAAGGCCGGUGGCGAAGGCGGCGCUCUGGAACAUUUCUGACGCUGAGGCUCGGAAAGCGUGGGGAGCAACAGG
rnacentral:rRNA from 1 species